rnacentral:tRNA from 1 species
GCCUUCUUAGCUCAGUUGGUAGAGCAGCUCAUUCGUAAUGAGCAGGUCGCCGGUUCGAGUCCGGCAGUGGGCU